UACGUAGGUGGCAAGCGUUGUCCGGAUUUAUUGGGUUUAAAGGGUGCGUAGGCUGUUUUUUAAGUCAGUGGUGAAAUGCUCGAGCUUAACUCGAGAUGUGCCAAUGAUACUGAAAGACUUGAGUACAAACGAAGUAGGCGGAAUUGAAAGUGUAGCGGUGAAAUGCAUAGAUAUUUUCAAGAACACCGAUAGCGAAGGCAGCUUACUAGGAUGUAACUGACGCUGAAGCACGAAAGUGUGGGGAUCAAACAGG
rnacentral:rRNA from 1 species